rnacentral:rRNA from 1 species
CCUACGGGUGGCUGCAGUGGGGAAUAUUGCACAAUGGGCGCAAGCCUGAUGCAGCCAUGCCGCGUGUAUGAAGAAGGCCUUCGGGUUGUAAAGUACUUUCAGCGAGGAGGAAGGUGUUGUGGUUAAUAACCGCAGCAAUUGACGUUACUCGCAGAAGAAGCACCGGCUAACUCCGUGCCAGCAGCCGCGGUAAUACGGAGGGUGCAAGCGUUAAUCGGAAUUACUGGGCGUAAAGCGCACGCAGGCGGUCUGUCAAGUCGGAUGUGAAAUCCCCG